AGUGAACGCUGGCGGUAGGCCUAACACAUGCAAGUCGAACGGCAGCACAGUAAGAUCUUGCUCUUACGGGUGGCGAGUGGCGGACGGGUGAGGAAUACAUCGGAAUCUACUUUUUCGUGGGGGAUAACGUAGGGAAACUUACGCUAAUACCGCAUACGACCUACGGGUGAAAGCAGGGGAUCUUCGGACCUUGCGCGAUUGAAUGAGCCGAUGUCGGAUUAGCUAGUUGGCGGGGUAAAGGCCCACCAAGGCGACGAUCCGUAGCUGGUCUGAGAGGAUGAUCAGCCACACUGGAACUGAGACACGGUCCAGACUCCUACGGGAGGCAGCAGUGGGGAAUAUUGGACAAUGGGCGCAAGCCUGAUCCAGCCAUACCGCGUGAGUGAAGAAGGCCUUCGGGUUGUAAAGCCCUUUUGUUGGGAAAGAAAAGCAGCAGGUUAAUACCCCGCUGUUCUGACGGUACCCAAAGAAUAAGCACCGGCUAACUUCGUG
rnacentral:rRNA from 1 species